GAUGAACGCUGGCGGCGUGCUUAACACAUGCAAGUCGAACGAAGCACUUUAUUUGAUUUCCUUCGGGACUGAUUAUUUUGUGACUGAGUGGCGGACGGGUGAGUAACGCGUGGGUAACCUGCCUUGUACAGGGGGAUAACAGUUGGAAACGGCUGCUAAUACCGCAUAAGCGCACGGCAUCGCAUGAUGCAGUGUGAAAAACUCCGGUGGUAUAAGAUGGACCCGCGUUGGAUUAGCUAGUUGGUGAGGUAACGGCCCACCAAGGCGACGAUCCAUAGCCGACCUGAGAGGGUGACCGGCCACAUUGGGACUGAGACACGGCCCAAACUCCUACUGGAGGCAGCAGUGGGGAAUAUUGCACAAUGGGCGAAAGCCUGAUGCAGCGACGCCGCGUGAGCGAAGAAGUAUUUCGGUAUGUAAAGCUCUAUCAGCAGGGAAGAUAAUGACGGUACCUGACUAAGAAGCACCGGCUAAAUACGUG
rnacentral:rRNA from 1 species